rnacentral:rRNA from 1 species
UACUUAGGGUGCGAGCGUUGUCCGGAAUUAUUGGGCGUAAAGAGCGUGUAGGCGGCCCGAUUAGUCCGCUGUGAAAGUCCAGGGCUCAACCCUGGAAUGCCGGUGGAUACUGUCGGGCUAGAGUCCGGAAGGGGCGAGUGGAAUUCCUGGUGUAGCGGUGAAAUGCGCAGAUAUCAGGAGGAACACCAAUGGCGAAGGCAGCUCGCUGGGACGUGACUGACGCUGAGACGCGAAAGCGUGGGGAGCAAACAGG